AUUGAACGCUGGCGGCAUGCCUUACACAUGCAAGUCGAACGGCAGCACGGGUGCUUGCACCUGGUGGCGAGUGGCGAACGGGUGAGUAAUACAUCGGAACGUACCUUAUCGUGGGGGAUAACGCAGCGAAAGUUGCGCUAAUACCGCAUACGCCCUGAGGGGGAAAGCGGGGGACCGUAAGGCCUCGCGCGAUUAGAGCGGCGGAUGUUUGAUUAGCUGGUUGGUGCGGUAAAAGCUCACCAAGGCGAUGAUCAGUAGGUGGUCUGUGAGACCGAUCAGCCACACUGGGACUGAGACACGGCCCAGACUCCUACGGGAGGCAGCAGUGGGGAAUUUUGGACAAUGGGGGCAACCCUGAUCCAGCAAUGCCGCGUGAGUAAAGAGGGCCUUCGGGUUGUAAAGCUCUUUUGUCAGGGAAGAAACAGCAGCUCUAACACAGUCUGCAAAUGACGGUACCUGAAGAAUAAGCACCGGCUAACUACGUGCCAGCAGCCGCGGUAA
rnacentral:rRNA from 1 species